rnacentral:rRNA from 1 species
UACGGGGGGGGUAAGCGUUGUUCGGAAUUACUGGGCGUAAAGGGCGCGUAGGCGGCCUGCUAAGUCGAACGUGAAAUCCCUGGGCUCAACCCAGGAACUGCGUCGGAUACUGGAUGGCUUGAAUUCGGGAGAGGGAUGCAGAAUUCCAGGUGUAGCGGUGAAAUGCGUAGAUAUCUGGAGGAAUACCGGUGGCGAAGGCGGCAUCCUGGACCGACAUUGACGCUGAGGAGCGAAAGCUAGGGGAGCAAACGGG